GUAGUUUGAUCAUGGCUCAGAACGAACGCUGGCGGCGUGGAUAAGACAUGCAAGUCGAACGGGAGAAUUGCUAGCUUGCUAAUAAUUCUCUAGUGGCGCACGGGUGAGUAACACGUGAGUAACCUGCCCCCGAGAGCGGGAUAGCCCUGGGAAACUGGGAUUAAUACCGCAUAGUAUCGAAAGAUUAAAGCAGCAAUGCGCUUGGGGAUGGGCUCGCGGCCUAUUAGUUAGUUGGUGAGGUAACGGCUCACCAAGGCGAUGACGGGUAGCCGGUCUGAGAGGAUGUCCGGCCACACUGGAACUGAGACACGGUCCAGACACCUACGGGUGGCAGCAGUCGAGAAUCAUUCACAAUGGGGGAAACCCUGAUGGUGCGACGCCGCGUGGGGGAAUGAAGGUCUUCGGAUUGUAAACCCCUGUCAUGUGGGAGCAAAUUAAAAAGAUAGUACCACAAGAGGAAGAGACGGCUAACUCUGUGCCAGCAGCAGCCGCUGUAAC
rnacentral:rRNA from 1 species